GUUCACACUUGAUCUCAAGUCUCUGAGGUUGAAGGAGUUGUCGACUAAGAAGUACACACCCAAUUACAAAUGGUGAUUGUUGGAGAACAUCUUUUUCUACAUGAGCUUCAACAAUCCAUCAGGUAUGUCUAACUUAACCAUUUAUGUAUGGUUUCUAUGAUGCGAUGAUUGAUUCACCAACAUGUGUUAAUUUUUCCGUAAGAAAUUCCCAUACAUUGCACCAAGAAAUUCUCGUCCUACUGAGUACUGACCCGUUCUCUUUGCUCCAUUUAGCGGUGGCCGGUGUUGUGGACGAGGACAACCCAAGGCCAAGUAAAGCAGGACGUGUUGAUGGCGGCAGUUUAAAUCUCGAGCAAGCCGUUGAAGCAUGGAAGUUCAGUUUAAUCUGUAGGUGUUGGUUUUCAUCCUAAGUCUUAUCCUUUGUGUUUGAUAUGGGAGUCUUAGCUAUGGUAUAUUGUUAAGCGUCAAUUUUAAGUUGGUUACCCAACAUGCAUGCUUGCUCUUCUUUGCGUGGCUUAUCAUGUUAUACUUUCAGUAGUAAGUAGUAACCGGUGGAAGAUAUGGUCACAAAAUUGUCAAACUCUCGUUCUGUCAUUUUUUUGGCUUGUCAGUCUGCUCCCUGCAACUUCCUUUCCCAGGCAAAAUGCUUCCUGAGUUUGUAUAUGAAAUACCUAAUUUGGAUCCAGGCUUGUGUGUGCUUAUGCUAAGUUCAAU
rnacentral:lncRNA from 1 species